AGUGAACGCUGGCGGUAGGCCUAACACAUGCAAGUCGAACGGCAGCACAGUAAGAGCUUGCUCUUACGGGUGGCGAGUGGCGGACGGGUGAGGAAUACAUCGGAAUCUACUUUUUCGUGGGGGAUAACGUAGGGAAACUUACGCUAAUACCGCAUACGACCUACGGGUGAAAGCAGGGGAUCUUCGGACCUUGCGCGAUUGAAUGAGCCGAUGUCGGAUUAGCUAGUUGGCGGGGUAAAGGCCCACCAAGGCGACGAUCCGUAGCUGGUCUGAGAGGAUGAUCAGCCACACUGGAACUGAGACACGGUCCAGACUCCUACGGGAAGCAGCAGUGGGGAAUAUUGGACAAUGGGCGCAAGCCUGAUCCAGCCAUACCGCGUGAGUGAAGAAGGCCUUCGGGUUGUAAAGCCCUUUUGUUGGGUAAGAAAAGCAGCAGGUUAAUACCCCGCUGUUCUGACGGUACCCAAAGAAUAAGCACCGGCUAACUUCGUG
rnacentral:rRNA from 1 species